GAUGAACGCUGGCGGCGUGCCUAAUACAUGCAAGUCGAGCGAACGGACGAGAAGCUUGCUUCUCUGAUGUUAGCGGCGGACGGGUGAGUAACACGUGGAUAACCUACCUAUAAGACUGGGAUAACUUCGGGAAACCGGAGCUAAUACCGGAUAAUAUUUUGAACCGCAUGGUUCAAAAGUGAAAGACGGUCUUGCAGUCACUUAUAGAUGGAUCCGCGCUGCAUUAGCUAGUUGGUAAGGUAACGGCUUACCAAGGCAACGAUGCAUAGCCGACCUGAGAGGGUGAUCGGCCACACUGGAACUGAGACACGGUCCAGACUCCUACGGGAGGCAGCAGUAGGGAAUCUUCCGCAAUGGGCGAAAGCCUGACGGAGCAACGCCGCGUGAGUGAUGAAGGUCUUCGGAUCGUAAAACUCUGUCAUUAGGGAAGAACAUAUGUGUAAGUAACUGUGCACAUCUUGACGGUACCUAAUCAGAAAGCCACGGCUAACUACGUG
rnacentral:rRNA from 1 species